UACGAAGGGGGCUAGCGUUGCUCGGAAUUACUGGGCGUAAAGGGCGCGUAGGCGGACAGUUUAGUCAGAGGUGAAAGCCCAGGGCUCAACCUUGGAAUAGCCUUUGAUACUGGCUGUCUUGAGUUCGGGAGAGGUGAGUGGAAUGCCGAGUGUAGAGGUGAAAUGCGUAGAGAUCCGGAGGAACACCAAAGGCGAAGGCAGUGUCCUGGGGAGUACCUGACGCUCAGGUGCGAAAGCCAGGGGAGCGAACGGG
rnacentral:rRNA from 1 species